AAUGCAAGUCACAGAGAGAGCCAGUGCCAGCUGCAUAGGGAGCCGGUGCGAGCCACAUAGAGAGCCAAGGCGAGCCACAGAGGGAGCCAAUGCAAGUCACACUGGGAGCCGAAGGGAGCCACAGAGGGA
rnacentral:lncRNA from 1 species